rnacentral:rRNA from 1 species
AGUGAACGCUGGCGGUAGGCCUAACACAUGCAAGUCGAACGGCAGCACAGUAAGAGCUUGCUCUUACGGGUGGCGAGUGGCGGUCGGGUGAGGAAUACAUCGGAAUCUACUUUUUCGUGGGGGAUAACGUAGGGAAACUUACGCUAAUACCGCAUACGACCUACGGGUGAAAGCAGGGGAUCUUCGGACCUUGCGCGAUUGAAUGAGCCGAUGUCGGAUUAGCUAGUUGGCGGGGUAAAGGCCCACCAAGGCGACGAUCCGUAGCUGGUCUGAGAGGAUGAUCAGCCACACUGGAACUGAGACACGGUCCAGACUCCUACGGGAGGCAGCAGUGGGGAAUAUUGGGCAAUGGGCGCAAGCCUGAUCCAGCCAUACCGCGUGGGUGAAGAAGGCCUUCGGGUUGUAAAGCCCUUUUGUUGGGAAAGAAAAGCAGCAGGUUAAUACCCCGCUGUUCUGACGGUACCCAAAGAAUAAGCACCGGCUAACUUCGUG